UGAGCAAUCUGCCCUUCUCAUCGGAAUAAGCGUUGGAAACGACGUCUAAUGCCGAAUACGACCUCCUUUCGCAUGAUCGGAGGUGGAAAGCUCCGGCGGAGAAGGAUGAGCUCGCGGCCUAUCAGCUAGUUGGUGUGGGUAAUGGCCCACCAAGGCGACGACGGGUAGCCGGCCUGAGAGGGUGACCGGCCACACGUGGGACUGAGACACGGCCCAGACCUCCGUAGGGACGG
rnacentral:rRNA from 1 species